CCAUGAAUCCUCUCUUCCUAAUCUGAUUUUGUAAUAAUCAGGGCAUGUUAAAUCACUUGUUAUAAUAAAACUAUGCAUAUGCCCCCCCAACCUUGCCUUUUACCUACUUAGGUUUGGUCUUAUAAGUGUUGGUGAUAAAU